rnacentral:rRNA from 1 species
UACGUAGGUGGCAAGCGUUGUCCGGAUUUACUGGGCGUAAAGCGCGUGUAGGCGGCUUGUUAAGUCUGUCGUGAAAUCUCCCGGCUUAACCGGGAGGGGUCGACGGAUACUGGCAGGCUUGAGGGGAGCAGAGGAAGGUGGAAUUCCCGGUGUAGUGGUGAAAUGCGUAGAUAUCGGGAGGAACACCAGUGGCGAAGGCGGCCUUCUGGGCUCAACCUGACGCUGAUACGCGAAAGCGUGGGGAGCGAAC